CAGGAAGAAUACUGUAUGAAUAUAAUGGAACAAACAAAUGGACUGCAAGCUUUCUAGAUGGCCAGACCUGGGCUGGAAUUCUGGGUCCUCCACUCACAGGCUGUAUGAACUUGGGGAAAGAAAGUCAGUCCCUGAGGUUGAGAGGUCAGUGAAGAAGGCAAAUCUGAGACGAAAACAUGCACGCUGGCUAUGACCAUGGGCAAUCCAGGCCCCAGCUGGGAUUCCUGGGACAGGCUGGGUGGAGACAUUCACGCUUGAAGCAAGCUGCCAUGUUGCCAGGAAUCCCACGCUCACGUGGAGAGACCCCACGUAGAUGUUCCUGUUGCGGACCUAGCUGAGGGCCCAGCUGACACCCAGCAAGGACAUCACACACUGAGUGAAGACACCUCCAGGUGAUUCCCACUCUGAGCUGUUGAGUCACCCCCAGCCCCUGAGUCUUCCCAGCUGACAGACACCCCAGACAUGUGGAACGGAGACAAACUGUCCCUACUGUGCCCUUUUCAAAUUUGAGAUCCACAAUUUAUGAGCAUAAUAAAAUGGUUGUUUGCCAUUAAGGUUUUGGGGUAGUUACAUAGCACCAUGAAUUCCCAAAGGCUCUUCUAGAGCAGCUACCGUGAGCCUGGCUCUCUCACGGAAAGGCACGGACCGCCCCUCUCCAUCCAACGUUCUCCCCAGCCUUGAGGCAGAGCUGUUGCUGCCACCUGGUGGCCAAUAGGGAGAAUGCGAGACCUACUGUUCUCCCUCACGAGCAGUUUAUUCUCAUUCAUUCAUUCAGUCAGUCACAAUCCCUGAUGGUGGCGGGUCAAGUGUAGUUUUAAAAAGCAUAAUCUGGGGUGCCUGGGUGGCUCAGUCGGUUAACCAUCCGACUUUGUCUUAGGUCAUAAUCUCACGGUUUGUGACUUCGGGCCCCGCAUCUGGCUCGUUGCUGUCGGCGCAGAGCCCGCUUUGGAACCUCUGUCCCCCUCUCUCUCUGCCCCUCCCCAGCUCGCCCUCUCUCUCUCAAAAAUAAGUUAAAAAAAAACACAUGAAAAAGCAUAAUCUAACACUACUGUUUCUUGUAUGCGUUUGUCUUUGGUCAUGAGAUUUCAUUUACAAGUCCCCAAUCCCUUAAACUUUCCUUUAAAAUCCAAAAUUCUCUGAAAAGUGAAAGGUUUUCAUCAGUUUGCAAAACUCGCUCAAUAGCUAGACCUAAUCUGAACUGACGUGAGGCCAUGCAUCGUCUCUCACUGACAUUUCACAGCAGAAACAUCAGUGUUUGAUUAUGGGGUGCUGCCCUAGAUUCCCUCUAGGGGUAUUAUAUAAUAGCCCUGGUUCUCAAGUGUGGUCCCCAGACCAGUGGCAUCAGUAUCAACUGGGAUCUUGUCAAACAUGGAACUUCUCAGGCCCCACCCCGGACCUGAAUCAAAAACUCUGGGAUGGAGUCCGGCCAUCUGUGCUUUAACGACCCCUAAGGGUAAUUCUGAUUCAUGUUCAAGUAUGAGAAUCACCGAUAUAGAGUAUAUGCACCACAUUAUAUUUAUGAAACCCCAGAGCCUGAAUUCCAGAGCACAUUUGGUUCCCAUGGUUUCAGAGAAGAGAUUCCUUGCAGACUUGUAUUUUGAAAUUUGAAGUCACGUUAAAGGAAGCCAGGAAACUUUUAUGUGUAAGAAAGAGGGCGGUGCUUCCUUGUAGGCCUAGAGAAAGGAUGAUUGAUAAUAAUAAAAGCUAACUUUCUGAGUGUUUAUAACCUGGCGGGCACUGUGCCAAGUACCCGGGCUCACCAGGUCCACACAAUGAACUUAGAAAGUAGGCAUCGUUAUCAUCCCCAUUUUAUGAAUGGGAAAACUGAGGCGAGGGGCGUGAGCAAUUACCAAAGCACGGAGAGGACCCCCAAAGGAGGCCCUGGGCUUCAGCGGAGGGACACCGGGAAAUCACAGGGCCUUGUUUCUUCAGUGUUCCGAAACCUGCUGGUGCCUCCCUUUGGCUAAGCUCUACGAGAAGCCAGAGAACAAGGGAAUCCCUACGGCUUAGCCCACAGUGGUGCAGAGCAGAAUAGAUCUACGGGGGCCACUGUUUCACACUUCUGCGGCGAGUGUAUGUAUCAUAACUGGAUGCUGCUGUGUGUUUAAAUAUAAAAGUAUCACAUUGCAAGGAUCCAUUUGCAACUUGCUUUUCGUUUUCACUCACAUUUCUGUUUUCUAGAUUUGUCUGUGUUGACACAGGUAGCUCUGUUUUAGUUCAUUUUCUCUGUUGUCUAGAAUUCCAUCAUCAUAAAAGAGCCCUUCGUAGGGGCGCCUGGGUGGCUCAGUCGGUUGAGCAACUGACUUCAGCUCCGGUCAUGAUCUCACGGUUUGUGAGUUCGAGCCCCGUGUCGGCUCUGUGCUGACAGCUCAGAGCCUGGAGC